ensembl:lncRNA
UAGCUUACAUACAUUUUUCUUUAUUGGGGAAAACGAGGUGUCAUAUUACAUUCUCAUUGUACCAAGCUUAUCCAAACGUAAUUAUUUACUCCUUACAAUGAUGCAACAAUGCAGGGAAAUUAUCUUUAGGGAACCUGUGGAUAGAUAGUUAAACAUUAAAAUACAAAAUAAAGUUCAAAGCGACACCGUUUCUCAUCAACCCUGUUCCCAUGGUCCUUUGAGUUCCGAGAUUUAAGAAAUACAAAAACAAAGGAAACAAAUACAAAAAACACGAUGAGAACAAACUUAACCGUGGACUGGAUGAGCAUUACCCGAUCAUUUGGUAAGAGGCUCAGUGGAAGUGGCACAUAAGACAGAAUUUUUUUUAAUUGACACAAAAGUUCACAAAAUGAAUGCAAUAUUAAUUUUAAUACACAAAUAUAAUUGUAUUAUUCAUACAUUUAAACUGACAAUGUAAAAAACAGGUAGCCUUGUGUCGAACCAAUGUGUAAUUUAAACAUAAGCAUAUCCAUAGCACCUGCUGCUCUAUGAUAUUAGCACCCCAGCAGAAUAGUCAGUGCGUAAAUGUUUUAAGCUAAUUCAUUAUUAAAAUAGAAAUCCCAAGGAGAACGGAGUAAGACUGUGUAAUAUAUAUCUCAGGAUUACUCACAAAACAAGACCUAGGCAGGCACAUGGGCUGCAGCAAAUUCUAAUAUUAAUAUGGUGUUAAUGGUGGUGUUUUCUGACUCAUGCAACAUCGCUCUUGUCACUGGCUCUGCAUGUAAAUACCAGCAGUUCAGGCGGAUUGCUGAGGGAACCGAAGUAAACACCAGGCCGUCUCCAAGAAGAUACUGUUAAUCUGUCCACAAACUUCACAACUGCACACUAAUUAACCACACACGCACUGCAAUGUCCCUUGUGGCUGUGUGUGUGUGUGUGUGUGUGUGUGUGUGUGUGUGUGUGUGUGUGUGUGUGUGUGUGUGUGUGUGUGUGUGUGUGUGUGUGUGUGUGUGUGUGUUUGUUUGUGUCUUUGUGUGUAUGUGUGUGGGUGUAAGUGUGUGUAUGUGAAUGUGUUUGUGUGCGUGUGAGUGUAUUUGUCUGUUUGUACGUAUGUGUGUGUGUGUGUGUGUGUGUGUGUGUGUGUGUGUG